UCAGAGCUUUAAAUGCAAUUCAAUUAUAUUACUCGUCAAUGUUUGGGUGCUGGGACCGCAUAUCAUUGACUUCCAAUUGAUUUAAAUUAUAAAAAGAGUUUCAAUUUACGCCGGUUCGUCCAGGAACGCAUCCCGGGCGUAAAUCGAGGGCUACCAGAACAUCAGUAACACUGUUAAUUCUCAAUCACAUUACACCUUUUAAUUAACAUUUUUCCUUGAAAGGAAGUUAAUCUAUCAGAUUUUUAUGUAGAACAUAACAUUCUUAACAUAGGAGAUCAAGAAUUUCAAGCUUGAAGAGUCACAUCUUGCAGUUCAUGUAUUCCACAUGUGUUUUCUUUCUGUAACUCAUUUAGUUCAUAUGAGCACAGGUGGCUUAGUCAGUAUACCCUGGGGCCCACCCAGCCUCCUGUCCAGUGGGUACUGUGGUCUUUCCCCGGGGGUGAAUCACAAGUGGAGUGUGACACUGACCACUCACCCCCAUCUAGUGUUGACGUUGAGAAUGAGUAGGAGCUAUACCCCCUCCCCCUUGUGUGCCUACAUGGCAUUUAAUGGGAUGGGUCACUCAUUUGUUUUCCUUGUCAGUUAUAUAAUUCAAUCAUGGUCAUUUUUACAUUUAAAGAGAAUGACAAGUUAUUGUGCUCUUUAUUAGCAGGAUGAACAUGAAUUGAUCGCAAAAGAAUUGCGUUUAAAUUUAUGGUGCUGAGUAUUGAGAUCAUGGUGUGUGUAUUUUAUUUUAGUCCUAUUGAUAAUCACAGAGUAAAGCCUUCAUAACCUCUCUUUUGGUUAUGCAGUAUACUUCUUGGGAAGAAACCGUGCAACUUCCCUUGUCUUGUGUUGGUAAUGAUUUUGGUUUAUCUUCUGCCCACGAGGUAGUGCCAUAGGCGAAGCGUACCCUUACACACGUGUGUUAUCGAUAUCGCCAGUGGAGGCGGAAGCUGGACAGUCACAUGUAUUAUCGGUAUUGUGUGAUGGAGGCUGAAGUUUGACAGGUUAUUGUGCAGAACGCAGUUCUUUCAGUCCUCUGUUGUACAUAUUGAAGUUUUCUACCAAGAGGCAUAUUUUAGUGUGAAUAUGUAGUGUGUUAAAUGUGUUAUAUAAACCAUACAACACGGUAAAACGGUAAAAAUGUGCGCAGAAAUGUAUCGAUGUUGCCAAAAAGUAAGCGGUGUCGUUAAACUGGGCGAAUAAGUUAAUGGGCCUGGGCGGAGGGGAUACAUUCAUUGUAGUGUGCUAAUUUUGACAUGGGUAUUAUACUUGAUUGCACCCAUGGCUAUAUAUAGUUUCACUCAUCCUCCCUGUAAUAUCAUUGGCGCUCACUGGAUCACUUCUUCUAUCUUUCGUCCCCCUAUCACAGGUCAAAGGCUAUGAUUAUGUAAUAGUAAUUUUUUAUAUAAUUCAGACCAAUAGCACUACAUUCUUUUUGUGGUUAACAACCGCACACUGACCGUCUGAAAUGAAGUUCCAAUUCAAAAUUUAAUCUUGGAUGACACAUGCGGUUUAUGAUAUUGCUUGGUGGCAGCCUCUACAAGCAAAGUCUGUGCAUAAAGUAGGCCAACAUAACCUAAUUUCUGUGAAUGUAAAUGGUGUUUAUGGUACACGAGCAUCGUGGAAGUAUAAAUAGCAUGUACAGGACAAGAGAAUUGAGGGAGUGAUUGUGCAUAGUGUGUGACAUUGCGUUUAAAGAUGAGGCGCGUUGUUAUGAAAUGCAAAGAGGAAAUAAAGAUAAAUGAGCUUGUGAGAAGGGACAGUGUUGUUAUCGGAGAAGAUAUAAUAGUGCAAGAAGCAAGGGGGUUGGUUGUGUAUGUCAUGCUUACCGCUUCAGAGUAGCCGGAAGUAUGAUGAUUUGUAGGCGAUUCUUCGACUGAGUACAUCCCAGGCCUAGAUUUCAGCCAGAAGCCUACAGUUGGACUUCUUGUAGUUUUAGGACUCUACAUCUGACCCGUUUGAGCUGUGUGAAGGACGUUGAAAUGGGUCUUUCCGAAAUACACGACACCGUAUAAUAUAUUAGAGCGAUGCUCUGGAACAAUCGGAUUCAUCUCGUGCUGGCGUCUUUUCGUUCGAUAGCAUUUGUUUUUCGAGAUUAAUUACUGGGACGGUCGAUCGAAGCGCCCCAUAGUGAGGGAAACACAAAACAUACACUCGAUUAUUUGUCUUUCCCAAUGUUGAAGAUAUAUUAAAUAAAAUAAAAUCAUUUAGUUGAGUUAAAGAGCAAAACCACAUAGGCCCACAUCGUGAAGGUCACUCUCACAUUAUUUCAAGUUGCAUUCCAUUAAUGUUCUCUUAAUAUUGAAGAAUCUUAUAUGGGGAAAGCCCCGCCCUCCUCGCUCCAAUGUUUGGUGGUUAUCGUUACGAAAAUUGUGUCAGUCGGAACAGGUUAUGUGUAGUUCAUUUUUUAAUGUGUCAGACCAGGUUAUAGUUUAGGUUCUAGUCUAAAGCAUGCAGAAGGAAACGAGGUUUACUUUGUAUCACAUCCCUAGAUAUAAGUUACUGUAACAGUUAACGUAAUUGAUACACCAGGAUUGUUACGUAAUGGAAGUUGAUCACAAGUGGUAGAUCAGCUCAGUGUGAUGUGUUUUUGUUAUGUUGGCGGACUGCUUUAAAACAUUACAGUUGAUUCCGACAACACUUUUUACGUCUGUGAUUAAAUAUCCUGACCGCUGUAUGUGAUGCUUCUUAAACUGGUUAGUUAAAUCAUGUCUGUUAAAGAACUGUUUUAACUCCUUGGGACAGAGUUCUUGUUGCGGAGCUGAGAGUCGCUCAUCUGCUCAACAAUUUCUUUUCCUUUUAUGGAAUUAGAGGUUUCAUUGCCGUGUCCACAAGAACCCGUCACUGGACCCUGUAUGAGCUAAUCGAGUCCAGUCCGUCUUCAUACUCUGUUUUUAUCUAUUUCAAUAUUAUCCUUCAAUCGAAGCCUAGGUCUAAGAGUCUUCCCUCACAUUUUACGAUAAAAUUGUUUAGGUCUGUGCACUUUUCAUCAACCCAAUGCCACAUGUCCUACCCACUUCAACCUCCUUGAUUUCA